AUACGUAGGUGGCAGGCGUUGUCCGGAUUUACUGGGUGUAAAGGGCGUGUAGGCGGAGAUGCAAGUCAGGAGUGAAAUCUAGGGGCUCAACCCCUAAACUGCUUUUGAAACUGUAUCCCUUGAGUAUCGGAGAGGCAGGCGGAAUUCCUAGUGUAGCGGUGAAAUGCGUAGAUAUUAGGAGGAACACCAGUGGCGAAGGCGGCCUGCUGGACGACAACUGACGCUGAGGCGCGAAAGCGUGGGGAGCAAACAGGAUUAGAUACCCUGGUAGUCCACGCUGUAAACGAUGAAUACUAGGUGUGGGGGGACUGACCCCCUCCGUGCCGCAGUUAACACAAUAAGUAUUCCUCCUGGGGAGUACGAUCGCAAGAUUGAAACUCAAAUGAAUUGACGGGG
rnacentral:rRNA from 1 species